rnacentral:rRNA from 1 species
UUGCCAGCCCGCUCAAGAAACUUAAAGGAAUUGACGGGGCCCGCACAAGCGGUGGAGUAUGUGGUUUAAUUCGAUGCAACGCGAAGAACCUUACCUGGUCUUGACAUCCCCCGCGAUGCUUUAGAGAUAAAGCGGAGGUAUUCGGGGAGACAGGUGGUGCAUGGUUGUCGUCAGCUCGUGUCGUGAGAUGUUGGGUUAAGUCCCGCAACGAGCGCAACCCCUAUUGCUAGUUACCAUCAUUAAGUUGGGGACUCUAGCGAGACUGCCAGUGAUAAACUGGAGGAAGGUGGGGAUGACGUCAAGUCAUCAUGCCCCUUAUGUCCAGGGCUUCACACAUGCUACAAUGGUCGGUACAACGCGUGUGCGACACUGUGAGGUGAAGCUAAUCGCUCUAAAGCCGGUCGUAGUUCGGAUUGGGGUCUGCAACUCGACCCCAUGAAGUCGGAGUCGCUAGUAAUCGCAGAUCAGCAACGCUGCGGUGAAUACGUUCCCGGGCCUU